UAUGAGGAGUACAGUAACCAUUUCACACAUUUUUUUAUAGAGGUCAAGUGAUAUGUGUUAUUUCCCAAUGUGAAGAAUUAUGGUAAUCCAUCAUGUAAGGAAGGAAGAACACUAAUUUCACAUUUUUCUGUUGUUCAUUCAGGAGGGUGCUGCAGUGACUACCUGGCAACAGCUGCGUCUAUUGAAGAGGUUGACAAACUCUUUGAGAGUUUAAAUGGUGGAAAGCACUGUGUUGCCCACUAAGCGAUAACAGUCUGCAAUAUAGAACACCGGUUAUCCACUUCAGCAUGAAACGCUGAGAAGCAGGAUCAAUAUCAGGAUUCAGUGUGGACUUUCUUCCAUUUUGAUGGGGGCCAACCACUGCAAAGUGUUUUGACAGUCAUUUUUCAAAUCCUGGCAGAAGACUUGAAUGUUCGCUUCAUGAUCUUGAGCUCAAUGGUUUUCCCAAAGAUCCUGCUGGAUCCCUACCUCAGAUGUAGAAACUGCCCUGGUAUAUCUGCCUAUCUCGUGUGCACUGGUUCCCAAAGCAAGAGAUGAUGUACUUAGAUUUGAGAAUGAACUCUCAGAGUAGGGGAGUGAACCACAUUCCCAGAGAGAGCAUGAGAAGGGGGAAAUCAUGAGUGCCCUGUAGAGAGUUUCAUGUCCAGAGAGGAGGAGGCAAAAGAUACUGUACCAAAGGAUGCCGCCAUGAUAAAGGAUAGCUGGUUUCUGGGCCAAGAAUGAAACCUUAAUCUUUGAAGUACAAAGCUAGCCCCAUAGCUGCUAGUUUGGAAUGAGGAUAAAAGUGAGUAGUAACAUUGUACCUCACUUUUCAUUAUAAAUGUGUUGCAGGACGUGCGGAGAAAUUGUGUUUACUGUUGAUGACAGACUUGAAUUCUUAAAAAUUAAUUUAGGUCCUGCCAAGAGUAUUUGAACCCAUUAAGUGCUACACAUUUUUCAACAAUUUUUUUUUUCAAUCUCUUCAUGUUAAGAUCAGAUGAUCAGAGAACAGUGCUGUAGAUGGGAGAUUAAUCCUGAAGAAAGCACCAAAGUGGAAAAAAUUAUUUGUAGGUUACAAAUUCACUGUUGCAGAUUUAAUUCUGUUUCAUAUUUAUUGCCAUAAUCAUUUUGGCUUUAGAAAGUUAGUACAGUCAGUUCAUUUGUAAUUCAUGUUUAUAAGCACUUUGGCAGCAAAUGUUAUGGUACACUUGUAGCU